CCUACGGGAGGCAGCAGUGGGGAAUAUUGCACAAUGGGGGAAACCCUGAUGCAGCGACGCCGCGUGAGUGAAGAAGUAUUUCGGUAUGUAAAGCUCUAUCAGCAGGGAAGCAAAUGACGGUACCUGAUUAAGAAGCCCCGUCUAACUACGUGCCAGCAGCCGCGGUAAUACGUAAGGGGCCAGCGUUAUCCGGAUUUACUGGGUGUAAAGGGGGCGUAGACGGCAUCACAAGUCUGGAGUGAAAUGCCGGGGCUUAACCCCGAAACUGCUUUGGAAACUGUGCAGCUAGAGUGCAGGAGAGGUAAGGGGAAUUCCUAGUGUAGCGGUGAAAUGCGUAGAUAGUAGGAGGAACACCAGUGGCGAAGGCGGCUUACUGGACUGUAACUGACGUUGAGGCUCGAAAGCGUGGGGAGCAAACAGGAUUAGAUACCCCUGUAGUC
rnacentral:rRNA from 1 species